AACUCUUAUGACGUACACGUUUAAAUCAUGUUAAAGACUGUAGGCGAAUUGUGGGAUCUGCUCUACAUUUUUUACAGCCUUCAGAAGUCCUAAAAAGUAUCAUUGAAUUGAUAUGGAAUUGAUUUGAAAAAUGUUCGUUUUCCUGCAUGUCUAGGCAAGCCGGGGCAAGCACCUUGUCUAAAAGUAGACAAUUACAAUGAUAAAGUGGCAGCAUUUAAGGGGGAACCACUGGCCAAAAUAGGCAAUUGUACACUUGAGCACCCAAAUUAGAAUAAUACAUUUCCAUGUCAAUGAUCGCACAAUUGCAUAGCACUGCUUGUUCAAACAUGUUGCGUGUGUCGUGUGCAAUGAAUCAAAUAAAACAUUAUGUUAUUACUGCAGUGCUAUAGGGUGAGUAUAAUUUGGUUGUGUCCAACAUAAUUAAUUUGGAUAAAUAAUCAAAUAUCAUGGUCCAGCAAAUGAACAUUGAUAGAGAAAAUUUGACCACGAAAUAUUAUAUUAUAAAUAUCCUAUUCUCUUUCUAAUGGGAAUUUGUUGUGCUGCAUGAAAUAGGACAGAAAACGUUAUUGGCCUAUGUUUUACAUAUAUAUAUUAUUUACAUGUUUAGCUUACUGUUUUCUUAUCUGGCCAUUAGAUGUCCCAGGGUGGGGUUUGCCCUAUGUUACUUAUUUAAGAAAAAGAACAUAUCAUUUAUUAUAAUUGACCAAUAAAAAGCAACCCAAGAUAGACAGCCAAGAGACUUGGCCUGCCGGGGCUCAUUCCAGUAUUCCCACAUCCAGAACACUGUUAUUGUUGACAAUCACUGCCUGUUAUUUCUUUAGGAAAUACUUUCUUCAUUCUAUUCCAUGAACUGCAUUGUUGGUUAAGGGCUUGUAAGUAAGCAUUUCACAGUAAGGUCUACACCUGUUGUAUUCGGCGCAUGUGACGAAUACAAUUUUAUUUUAUUUGAUGUUAGAAUUGUAUCACUGCAGACUUUGUCAUCAUAACAAAGUAAAACCUUUUUUUUCCCUGACUAAUCUGGUGCUUAAAGGACAGUUAGACAUGUCCUGUAUCCUGUGGGUCCGUGUGUGACGUGGGAUGAGACAAGACAGAGGUAGUGAGUUGAGACCAGGUAUAUGUAGACCUAAUAUUGUAUCAUUUAAAUACAGGUGCUCAGUAGUUUGUCUCAUAUCCACUCAGAAAUAGGAAUCUGUCCAAAUGGUUUAGUUGGUGAGAAUCAUCAGUUGACUGAUGUAAAGUGAGUCUGAUCUAGUCCCUGUGUAUCCAUGCUGAAGGAGCCCAGGUGGGAGGGCUCAUUCUACACCCUCCUCUGUCUCUCAGCAGUGUAGCAGCAGCAGUGGCGCCAGGGCACUGACCUUCUCAGACACAACCAUCACUCAACAAUCUGCUCAGCCGGUCCCCUCCUCCUCCAUCCCCCUAUUCCUGUCUCACCCACAGCUCUCUCUCUCUCCAUCCCCCUACCCCUCUCCACCCAUCUCUCUCUUCCUCUGAUGAUGAGCCAGACCCAGGCUAUGUGGAAGUCUCUGGUUCUCGGCAGCACUAGUCUUCAAACGUCACUGACCCUAUAUUAAGCAGUUUGUUUUUGCUACUUGUUUUGGUAGUUUGUGUUGAUUAAACCAAUUUAAUUGUGUUUCUCCCUCUGCUCUGUCUCCCGCCCCCCCAUCUCAUCUGCUCUGUCUCCCCCCUCCCUCUCCUCUGAGCUGUCUCCUGAGCUCUUUUGCAGGACAUUUGGCAGCUCUGAGCAGGAAAGGAGCAGACUUUCUCCAGCGAGACUUUCCGUGCAUUUACUGCAAUCCAUUAUACACCCCAAACACAGACGUGUGGCCGGAUGACAACACGCAUCCAGACCUCCGGUCUUCAUCGUCCUGACGACAGAGUACCGGUGAUUAUAAAUCUGCAUGAUUGGGCCUUUCCCUUGGCCAAUUAGAUGAGGUGAAAUAUGGGAGGUCACGCCUGCUGUGGAGGCAGCAUGCAACCAGCGCUCUGUUUACUUAAAUGUCCCUUAUCAGCCCCCAUCAGAGGACCUGGGACACAAAGAGAAGGGGCCCAGAGUGUGUCCCUUUGUUCACAGAAAUGUGCCCUUUCUACAAGAUUUCCUCCCUUGCGUUUUGUGGCAUUCCUUUAGCAAUGGACAUCGACAUUGUUAAGAUAAAUAGAACAGUUGGAUAAUGGAUGAAGAUAUUCUAAACUUUUUAAAUUUGUUAUAGUUCAUCAGAUAUUGACUGAAUUAUAGUUCAGGGAUUCUGGUGGGAAUUCAGGUAUUCAAUAUAUUGUCAAAUGGCACUUUUGGGGGGGAUGCACUCAUAUAUACCUUUACUUAUUGUAUCAGGUAUUUUAAAAAUUAUUGUAUGUUAAAUUAACGAAAAACAGAUGUGCCUACUUUGCAUAAACAAACUGGGUGGAUUUGCAUAUAUGAAUACAUUAACAUGAAGGGGUGGAACAGGGCUGCAUUGACCAAACACUUGCUCUGUCAACUCUACCUGCACUCACCUGCGCUGUCUAAACUGUCUCAUAAAUUACUGUUGUUGCCCCGUUCUGUUGCAUAAUUCAACGAGUGUGUCAAUAGUCUGAUUCAAAAUCAACAUACUUGGCUCUAGAUUACAACUAUCUGUACAUACUUUAUGUUGUUUGCAAGAUCAGACGUAAUAUCGCUUUAAUCCAAGUCUUAAAUUGCUUUCGUUUCAGAUAAUCUAAAUUGUAAACACUUCAACUGUAUCUUUAUUUUUAUUUAACCUUUAUUUAACUAGGCAAGUCAGUUAAGAACAAAUUCCUAUUUACAAUGACGGCCUACACCGGCAAAACCCGGACGAUGCUGGACCAAUUGUGUGUCACCCUAUGGGACUCCUAAUCACGGCCAGUUGUGAUACAGACUGGAUUCGAACCAGGGUGUCUGUAGUGACGCGUCAAGCACUGAGAUGCAGUGCCUUAGACCGCUGCGCAUUAAAUUAUAACUUUCUUUCAAAUCCACAAAAAUGUGUUAUCUUUCUUCUGUCUCUUGUGAUUUAAGUGUCAAGAUGGUGCGUUAAGGUUUUCACCAACAACG
ensembl:lncRNA